GCGCUGGCAGUGAAAAUUCAAACCAGGCGUGGCAGCAUCCACAGAUUACAGCUCAGUAGUGAGGAAAAGAAAUGCAAGCUAAUCGUUGCUUGCUUUAGAAGAAGCCAGCUCCUCUAAAGGAAACUCCAUUAAUGGAUGGAUGUAGGACCCACUUCCUACCAAUGAAACGCAAGGCCAGUUUCCAUAUUCCUAGGAAUAAGGGAGCAUCCCUGUGAUCUACUGUAGAAGCAAAGCCGAUGAACAAUUUAUUCGGAUAGAAAGGAUCAUGGCAGAGCACUCAGCUUGAGCAGCCUUCUCUCCUCUGGGAAGAGGAGGUAGGAAUCCUAACUGGGUUCCCGAGGAGUCUUGAUUGACUCCAGCCAGAGCUGAUGAGACAGCGCGCUCCAGAAGAGGACAGUGGGAGGGAGACGCAAGCUCUGGAACUGGAGACCAGGUCCCUACUUACAGGUUGUGUAUACGGUGACUCUUCAGGCAUCAAUGGUUUGGUGUUUUUAACAGCCUGUGGACCAGGUAGCAUCACCAUUCACGUGAAAACGCCAUGAAAAGAAGAAAAGA